rnacentral:rRNA from 1 species
CCUGGCAACGAUAGCGCGGUGGUCCCACCUGACCCCAUGCCGAACUCAGAAGUGAAACGCCGUAGCGCCGAUGGUAGUGUGGGGUCUC